rnacentral:rRNA from 1 species
UUAAUUGAAGAGUUUGAUCAUGGCUCAGAUUGAACGCUGGCGGCAGGCCUAACACAUGCAAGUCGAGCGGUAACAGAAAUUAGCUUGCUAAUUUGCUGACGAGCGGCGGACGGGUGAGUAAUGCCUGGGAAUAUGCCUUAGUGUGGGGGAUAACUAUUGGAAACGAUAGCUAAUACCGCAUAAUGUCUUCGGACCAAAGAGGGGGACCUUCGGGCCUCUCGCGCUAAGAUUAGCCCAGGUGAGAUUAGCUU